GAGAAAAAUUUAAGAUGACGUCAAGCCGGCAAGGAUUUUGCUUGGUCAUGAAACGAGAUAAAAAGGAAUGCUACAGUAGGCAAAGGGCUCUUUUGGAACAAAAAUCAUUAUUUCGCGCCGUGAGUGCUAAGGUGAAGUGACCUGUUAUCACCCGUGAUUAGUGCGUUCCCGGUUACUUUAAGCCGGACGAGGAGAAAGGCACGACCCUGCGUGAGAGACGCCCCUCUGGUGAUGCCAAGACGACACAAAGUGGAAGCAACCUCUACGUCGACUAGCCAAGGCCGAAACCCGAAAACCGAUAGGUUCACCGUUUCGCCAGCAACCGCCGCCUUCAGGUGAAAUUAAGGUGCAAUACAUCCCUUUCCUAACCCUUUAAAAUCCCCAUAUCAAUUUUUAAUAAAAUUAAUCAGUGUAUUGGAA